ncrna:Salmonella enterica subsp. enterica serovar Heidelberg str. SL476 C4 antisense RNA
AUCUAUGGUAGCUCAGGCGGGGCAGGCAUUAGCCUGGCCGGUUUCCGAUGACGCCGGUAUUCCUACCCCCGUCUGGGCUAUCACCAAU